rnacentral:rRNA from 1 species
AGAGAUAGAGGAGUGCUCGAAAGAGGAGCCGUAACACAGGUGCUGCAUGGCUGUCGUCAGCUCGUGUCGUGAGAUGUUGGGUUAAGUCCCGCAACGAGCGCAACCCUUGUCAUUAGUUGCUACAUUCAGUUGGGCACUCUAAUGAGACUGCCGGUGACAAACCGGAGGAAGGUGGGGAUGACGUCAAGUCCUCAUGGCCCUUAUAGGUGGGGCUACACACGUCAUACAAUGGAUGGUACAAAGGGUCGCCAACCCGCGAGGGGGAGCCAAUCCCAUAAAGCCAUUCGUAGUCCGGAUCGCAGUCUGCAACUCGACUGCGUGAAGUCGGAAUCGCUAGUAAUCGCGGAUCAGCAUGUCGCGGUGAAUACGUUCCCGGGUCUU